UACAGAGGAUGCAAGCGUUAUCCGGAAUGAUUGGGCGUAAAGAGCUCGUAGGCGGCUUGGCAAGUCGGAUGUGAAAACUCCAGGCUCAACCUGGAGCCGCCAUUCGAUACUGCUAUGGCUAGAGUCCGGUAGGGGAGUGUGGAAUUCCCGGUGUAGCGGUGAAAUGCGCAGAUAUCGGGAGGAACACCGAUGGCGAAGGCAGCACUCUGGGCCGGCACUGACGCUGAGGAGCGAAAGCGUGGGGAGCGAACAGG
rnacentral:rRNA from 1 species